AUUAAAAGAAAAGAUAAGGGAGUAGGAAAUUAAAUAUUAACAAUAAAGUAAAAAAAGAGAAAUUAAUUAUAAAGAGAUUAUUAAAACAGAAGAGUGAUUAUUUAAUAUUUAAGAUAAUUAAAGUGGGAUUUGGGAGUGUGGCAGUAAACAUUGAUGGGAGAAACAAAUAUUGUCCUAUAGGAAACGUAAAAUAGGUAUGGUAUCCCUGUUUGUGUGAUUGGAAGGUGGUAAUCAUAUCUCAGCACAAGUUGGUCUAAUCCUUUUUGUUUAGUUGGCAAAGGAGUGCAGGUAGAAAAGUUUGAACCGCUUCUUCCCCGGGAGACACAAAAGGAAAGUUUUUGCAGAAAACCGGAAACUAAUUAAGGGAAAGUCAUCAGGAAACGCUUCGAAUCCCAGCCCUUUCUACUUAAUAUCUAUCAUCCGUUUUCCUUUGAACUUUGAACCAACUCAAAGCAUUUACUCAAACACCUAGCUAGCUAGCUACCUGUCACCAACACAACUCAGAUUGCAUUAUUCCAAACGCUUCCUUGGGAACUUUCUCUUCUGUCAUAACUUGGAACUCGUGUACACUUCCUUACUGCUAAACCAAGCCCAAAACCCGUUCUUUUCUCUUUCGGCUCACGUAGAUCUGAAUACACUUUCAGAUUUUGCUCAUACUCACAAGGAACCUUCUAGAUGCCGAACCGUUGGUGGGCCGGGAACAUGGCGGUCAAGUCUGAUGACCCCAACUCAUCGCUUCAUCCCAGAGACCAAGACAGCGGCGACAACGCCAACAACGCCACUCCGACCAACAGCGGCAACAGUAACACCAACUUCAACGCUGGCGAGGACGACGAAAACCCCGCCAACAACAACGACGGCGACGACCAGAACCUUAGCAGCGGGCGGCGGCCCAGGGGCAGGCCGCCGGGGUCGAAGAACAAGCCAAAGCCGCCGGUGGUGAUAACGAAAGAGAGCCCCAACGCGCUGCGCAGCCACAUCCUCGAAAUCAGCGGAGGCAGCGACGUGGCGGAUUGCAUUGCCACCUUUGCCACGCGCCGCCACCGCGGCGUGUCUGUGCUCAGCGGAAACGGCGUCGUCACCAACGUCACGCUGCGCCAGCCCGCCGCUCCAGGUGGCGUCAUCACGCUGCAGGGGAGGUUCGAGAUUCUCUCCCUCUCCGGCGCGUUUCUGCCGGCACCGUCCCCGCCGGAGGCCACCGGAUUAACCGUGUACCUCGCCGGAGGGCAGGGUCAGGUCGUCG
rnacentral:lncRNA from 1 species